UGUGUAAUUACCUUGCUUCCUAAUUGGUAGCAGACAAGGCCAGCAGGUGUGGAAAACCCCCGGUGAGCUGGCUCUAGUAGGUUGAGGCAGACGGUGCCUGGACUGUGGGAAGGGAGUGGGCUUCUCUCUGGCCCCAGUUCUGUGCCCUGCCCUGUGCCCAGAGCCCCACACUCAGGAUCUUCACUGAUUCCUUGAGUGGGGUGGUCCUCCCCUCAACUGAGGCCGAAAAGUAUGUGUCUGCCCAAGACCCCACCUGUCAGUGGGGCGGCCUGGAUGUGAACCUGGGGCUGCCUCAUGCCAAGACUUUGCUGUUCCUGCCCAGGCCACACAGAGGGAAGGAAAGGCGUAGGCAGGGGUUGAAGCCGGGGCCUCAGGGUACACCUUCAUGCUGCCUUUGGAGACAGACACCCUGAAACAGGACUCAGCACUUUUGCAUCCCCGCCCGUGCAGCAGGGCCAGGCACAGGAAGAGACGUGAUUAUGCUUUCCCAGAAAAGCUGAAGCUUAGCGUGUAUCAUUGCAUGCAGAUCCAGCUAACCCCACUUCAAAGUUUAUGUGAGGAAUACAUAAUCCAGUUGUUUGAACUCCAGUUGUAACAAGGUAGAGUGCAUCCAAAUACUACACACGGGAUCGUGUGUUUGUCAUGUGUGGACGUUCAGGGCUGUGCACUCUGGGGUAUGUGUGUCAACUUCACCUGCUCCCCAUUCACCAUCAAGCUGGGAGACCGGCCCUUGUGGAGAAUCUCUGUGAACGAUGACAGCAGAGGGCAACGCCGAUUGCACCUUUAUCACCGACCACGGUCUCUGUGACACUCCACGCAUUGUGCAAGGUCAAAUACUUACCAAUAUUGGGUCAGGAUUUGUACCAGGCCAUUGAGAAUGAAACGCCUGGAAUGCAGGGUGGAGGGUUCUGGAGUUUAGAGGGGGAGCCCCACUUCUCACCGGGAGAGUUGGGGAUGAGGGGAGGGACGGCUCCCCUGAAGGUGCUGUUUGAGCAAGACCUGGAAGGACGAGUAGGUGGGUUUCAGACUGAGUAGGAAAAGUGUGUCCUGGGCAGCCUGCAGGGAAGGGCAUGUUUAGGGGGACAGUGGGUGAGUCACAGUUGUUCAGGAGGGGUGCGAUGGGAACACUUAUUUGAGGCCAGACUGUGAUGGGUCUCGUAGAUGCCCCAAAGUUUGACCUUUAAUGCAGGUACGAUAGCUCCCUAGUCUGUCCAAACACUCUAAUAUAAUAGUUACGCAGGCAGCUUUCCGUUCUCUGUGUGGGGCUUGUCCACAUCUACUGGCAUAUUUGAUUUUCCCAGCAGCCUUGCAACAUAGGCAUUGCUUUUUUUUUUUUUUUUCCUGAGAUGGACUCUCGCUCUGUCACCUAGGCUGGAGGCAGUGACUCGAUCUCAGCUCCCUGCAACCUCCGUCCCCUGGGUUCGAGCGAUUCUCCUGCCUCAACCUCCUGAAUAGCUCGGAUUACAGGCAUGAACCACCACACCUGGCUAAUUUUUGUACUUUCAGUAGAGACAGGAUUUCACCAUGUUGGCCAGGCUGGUCUCAAACUCUUGACCUCAGGUGAUCCACCUGUCUCGGCCUCCCAAAGUGCUGGGAUUACAGGCGUGAGCCACUGAGCCAGGCCCCGCAUUGCUCUUUUUACAGAUAAGAAAACUGAGGUCAGUGAGGUUUGGUGAGUUACUUAGUGUGGGACAGUCACUCCUUUUUGUUUCAAACCCAGCACCUUGGCUCCUGCCCAGGCGGCCCCAUAAAAGGAACUGCUCCCGGCUGGGAUGUGCUUUGGGCUACUGUGUGCCCAUGUGCGGUCACACCUCAAGGACAUAUGAACAUGCCCCGCUCCUACCAUUCUUCUAGGGACAGAGUGCCAUUGCUCUAGAGAACACCAAAACUCUUGCCCUUCUGUCCCCUAUUUUGUUGUUGUUGAGAUUUUUAAAUUGGAAAUGUAAGACCGUUCCCCCACACUCCACAUCCUCCAUCAAGCCCUCAAUAAACUGGUUGCAUUUGUAUGUGAAAGACGUAUAUUCAAUACGUACAUAUCACAACAUGUCAUAUCAUAGCUAGCUCUGAAGACACAGCAUAGGAAAGACACGAGACAGCCGUGCACUCACCCGUGUGGAGAGCUGUGUGAAAUGCAGUUGCCUCCAGAGUCACAGCUUUUACUGCCAGUGAAAGAAAAUCUAUUUACCCGUUCAUCCACUGAUGGACAUUCGGGUUACUCCCACCUUUUGGCUACUAUGAAUAGUGCAGCUGUGAACCUGGGUUACAAGUGUCUGUUCCAGCGCCUUAUUUCAGUUCUUUCCAGUAUAUGUCAGAGGUAGGAUCGCUGGGUCAUGUGGUAAUUCUGUUUAGUUUUGUGAGGAACUGCCAUACUGUUUUCCACAGCAGCUGUGCCAUUUUACAUCCCCAACAACAGUCCACAAGGGUUUCCAUUUCUUCACAUCCUCGCCCACAUUUAUUUUUUGUUGUUGUGUUAUUUUUAAAAAAUAACAUCUAAUAAGUGUGACGUGGUAUCUCAUUUUAGCUUUGAUGUGCACUUCCCUAAUGCUUAGUGAUGUUAAACAUCUUUUCAUGAGCUUAUUGACCAUUUGUGUGUCUUCUAAGAAAUGUCGAUUUGGGUCCGUGCCCAUUUUUUAAUUGGGCUGGAUAUUUUUUGUUGUUGAGUUGUAGGAAUUCUUAAUAUAUUCUGAAUAGUGACUC
ensembl:lncRNA